GUGCUCACUUCAACAGCACAUAUACCAAAAUUGGAAUGAUACUGAAAAGAUUACCAUGGCCCUUGCCCAAAGAUGGCACAGAAAUUCUUGAAGUGUCCACAUUUUGU
ensembl:snRNA U6 U6 spliceosomal RNA